AGUGAACGCUGGCGGCAGGCCUAACACAUGCAAGUCGAGCGGCAGCGCGUCCGACCACCCUCGGGUGGUCGGAUGGCGGCGAGCGGCGGACGGGUGAGGAAUGCAUCGGAAUCUGCCUCGUUGUGGGGGAUAACGUAGGGAAACUUACGCUAAUACCGCAUACGACCUACGGGUGAAAGUGGGGGACCUUCGGGCCUCACGCGAUGAGAUGAGCCGAUGCCGGAUUAGCUAGUUGGCGGGGUAAAGGCCCACCAAGGCGACGAUCCGUAGCUGGUCUGAGAGGAUGAUCAGCCACACUGGAACUGAGACACGGUCCAGACUCCUACGGGAGGCAGCAGUGGGGAAUAUUGGACAAUGGGGGGCAACCCUGAUCCAGCCAUGCCGCGUGUGUGAAGAAGGCCUUCGG
rnacentral:rRNA from 1 species